rnacentral:rRNA from 1 species
CCGCGUGAGUCGAGGAAGGCCUUAGGGUUGUUAAACUCUUUCAGUAGGGAAGAUAAUGACGGUACUUACAGAAGAAGUCCCGGCAAAUUCCGUGCCAGCAGCCGCGGUAAUACGGAGGCGGCAAGCGUUGUUCGGAAUUAUUGGGCGUAAAGGGCAUGUAGCGGGUUCGGUAAGUUAAA